CACUUUCCCUCAAAAACCCUCCACUCCCACCCUAAACCCCACACCACUUUCUCUCUCAGAUCUCCAUUAUCUCCGUACCCGAUUGUCUUGGGCUCACUAACCAUGUCUGGUAGUGCUCGAGCCUCCACUCACCCGCCGACUGCGGCUGCGGCGGCGGCGGCGCCUCCGGGUGGUCCGAUCCUGCCCCCAUUGAGACGGCACCUCGCCUUUGCCACAAUGAAGCCUCCGUUUGUCCCUCCCGAUGAUUAUCAUCGUUUCACGUCCCCUACUACUAAUAGAGCCGCCG
rnacentral:misc_RNA from 1 species